AAGCUUGAAGAACAUGCCGUAUUUUGUGCCUUCCCCACAGGCGUAUAGGUGUCUCAUUUUCUCUUACUGUUAUUACUCUUUCCUUAAAACAAUAAUGCAAAAGGGACUCUACUAAACAUGUAGAAGGAGUCAUAGAGUUCAGAGAUGAAUGGAACAAUCAUGUGUCUUUUCCCUCUGCUGUAACUGCUGAUGGAGGAAAGGAGGAAAACCCACUAGCACUACUGAGACACCCAUCCAAGGAAAAGGUGAGUGAGAAGUGGGUUCUUCAGCGUUUCUGCCAAUGUAAGGCUCCCUAAGCAAGAAAAAAAGGCAAUCUUUUAUAAUCACUACAUUCUCCAAAUAUGAAGGAGAGCUAGAUGUGGCUGUGCAAAGAUAAGCUGUGGAAAUAUGGAGAAUAGAUUGUGGAAAGCCACAAGAGAUGAGGCUAACUAUGUAUCUUGGAAGCUCUCUAAACAAUAGUGCUUAUAAAAGAAAAGAGUUUAAGGAGCAAUCUCAUUUUCCACUGGCAAGGAUUCCUGCUCUUGGGGAGGUGCUGGAAAGUUUAUUUCUGCUUCUUCUUCCUCCUCCUCCUGCACUGGAAUAAUUUCAAUUUCUUCUUCAUUCUUUAGUUGGGAAGAUACUCCACUUAGCUCAAUGAUUUCUUCUUUCAUUUUAAUCGUCUGCUCUUUUUUUUCUCCAGCUGACAGCAGAACCACAUUCUAGAACAUAAACAAAUGCUUCUUGACUUUUACCCUUGACACACCUUCCAACAAUCUGUGUAUAUCCAAAUGCCAAAUUAUUCUCAGGCUCUUUGUUUAGUUAACCAUAUACUAUAGAUACCAGGAUUGGCUACAUGGAUGCUCAAAUUCUUAUCAAAUCACCUACUUUUAAACCUCCAGUUUGAGUAAAUCGUUAAGGGCUUCAGGCAUUUGCCAUUUUGCCUGAAAUAAUCAUACUACAUGAAAAAAAAUGUUAAAAAUAGAGGAGUUUAGAUUCUAGAACUAAUUUGCCUUUAGUGAUUGUAACCUGGGGCAGUUAUUCUCAUUCCACCUUAUUCCCAUAUUUGUAAUGAAGGAAACAGUAAUGACUACUAGGUUAUAAGCUAAAUCUUAUAGUCUGUCACUUUGAGGUAGUUUAUAGUAGAGAUCCUAUUGGGACAUUCACAUUUUCCAGUUUUGGAUAGUCUUUGAAAUACUAUUGUUUUGGAAGUGGAAUGAGGUGAAGGGAGAAAGCUGAGAAGGGAACACUAAAAAAUCCAAGGACCAGUGACUUUAUCAACCUUCAGCUUUCCACCAUCCUAUGUUACACAUUCAGAUGGGAGAAGGCAUGUAAUCAAGGUGUGAAUAAGAAUGUCUACCAUAGGCUCAAAUUUUUCAAUACUUGUUGUGCAGUGGGCAGAACUGUUUGGGAAUGAUCAGAAUUGUGGCCUUGUGGGAGGAGAUGUGUCAUUGGUGGUAGACUUUGGGGUUUCAAAUUCAAAGCCAUUUCUAGUUAGUUCUCCCUGUCUCAUGCUUGUGGAUCAGAAGUAAGCUCUCAGCUGCUUCUCCAGAGCCAUGCCUGACUGUCCACUGCCAUGCUCCUCCCUAUGAUGGUUAUGGACUCUAAACUAAUCUUCUGGAACUGUAAAGACCAAAUACAUGCUUUCUUUUAUAAGUCACCUUGGCCAUGCUGUCUUAUUACUGCAAUGCAGUAGUACAAGACAAAAUGGGAGUGGGAGUCUGAAGUCAAGUAGAUGGAAGGGCUGGUUGGCAGCCACACGUGUGUACAUGUGGAGGGAACUGUAGCAUCUGCCUAGCCAUAGACUCAGUUACUCUUCAAAAGAUUUGCUGUCACUACUGGUGUUUUCAGUUUCAAAAAAAAUUUACAACAAAACCAAUUUUUUCCAAUGAAACUCCUAGUUCCAAAAUUUCACCAGAUCAUAUUCUAUGCAAACAUUUUUUGUAGAUGUCAAUUUUCUAGGUUGUUGUGGACAGGUAACUCCAACUUACAGAUUUGGGUCUGGAGCAUAUUCUUUUCCACUCAUUCUCCACAACUCCAGCUGUCACGAGCUUCUGGAAGAAGGCAGAGAUCAGCAUCACCGACAGAAUGCCCUGGAAACCAACAGCAUGAAGGCAAAGGGAAGCUGGAUAGACACAUUCUUUGAAGAGAAAGUUUCAGCUAUGUACUCACCUAUGCUAGUCAAAUAAAACAACCCUUCAAGAUGGAUCGAUCUAGUACACAAGUUGGCAUUUUAUAGGCACUCCUUUAAGGAGGAAAACCAAGAUGUAGAGACCCUGCAAUGUUAGGCCAAGGUCACAAGCUUCCAGGAGCUAAAAGGAGAAUUAAAAUUCAAGAGACUAUGUUUCCAGAACCAUCUAUAACUCCAUAAUUCCAUAAUACAUGAAGUCAGGAUUAAAAAUCAACUCCUCAUUGUGUCAUGGACAAAGCUUGGCUAAGGUUACUCCAACUCCUCAUUUGGAAUCAGAUCACUCACAAGGAGAAGUGUUCUGCCCACAACACACGGUCCUUCAAGGGAGGGUGUCUGGCAGAAUUUGUGGUGCUGUGUAAAGGUGAGGAGGAUCAAGGCAGUCCCAGCUAAUGCAGUGAAUAAGCUGAUGACAUUCAUGGUUAUGACAUCUCGCUUCUGGAAAACAGAUGACAUGAUAAAACACGAUAAAGCAAGUAAAAGCUAAAGCUAAAUAUAUACCUUGUAGGAAAAACUCAGAACUCUUCUGCUUCUAGAGGCCUCAUUAGGUCCAUGUGAUUGGAAGGCUUGUCAAGUUCAGUUCUGACUGGUCAUAGUCAGAACCGAAGUAUAGAAUGGAGGAACAAUAACCUACAGUUAAUGCAACUGGAAAUGUUCAUCUCAUCUCAGCAGCUAACUGUCUUUCAUAACCUGGAAGGAUCAACUGGUGUAUAUCAACUUGGAAAUCAGACUCGAUUUUGAGUCUAGCUCUUAUUAGAACUUGUACCAACUAUUUAAGCUGUCUGAGUCUCAAUUUCUACCUUUAAAAAUGAGAAUGACUUUAGUGCAAUAUUUAUUUCCUAAAUAGCAUAUACUAAAUAUGUAUCAUCACCACAUUAGGCCCGAGAUAUAUAAAGACUCUUGUGGGACUUGACAGCCCACCAUUACAUGGCUCACUUACCUUCCCCAAGAAGAUCAAAUGGUGAUUAACAAAAUCAUUAGUAUGAUUAAAGAUGGUAAAACUUGGACUAGGGGUUAAAGAUGCCCUUUCUAUAAUAUCAAUGCUUCAACAUGGGAGGCAAAAAAAGUUGAUUGCUCCACUUAACUCCAUUCAAUUAAAAAAUAUUUUUUGAGAAUUUCCUAUGUGAAUAUUGUGUUUACAACAUUCCCUUCCCUCAAACUUGUCCUGGGUUCUCCUCUCAUUCCUCAAAUUCAUGGCCUCUUAUGAGUUAACGAUUACUUUUUGCAUAUAUAUGUACAUAAAGUUUAUAAACACUA